rnacentral:rRNA from 1 species
GCAAUCUACCUUGUACAGGGGGAUAGCCCAGAGAAAUUUGGAUUAAUACCCCAUAGUGUUAUGAUGUGGCAUCACAUUAUAACUAAAGUUCCAACGGUACAAGAUGAGCAUGCGUCCCAUUAGCUAGUUGGUGUGGUAACGGCAUACCAAGGCAACGAUGGGUAGGGGUCCUGAGAGGGAGAUCC